GAUGAACGCUAGCGGCAGGCUUAAUACAUGCAAGUCGAACGGGAUUCGAGGUAGCAAUACUUUGAUGAGAGUGGCGCACGGGUGCGUAACGCGUAUGCAACCUACCUUUAACAGGUGAAUAGCCCCGAGAAAUCGGGAUUAAUACACCGUAACAUUGCGAAGUGGCAUCACUAUGCAAUUAAAGAUUUAUCGGUUAAAGAUGGGCAUGCGUGACAUUAGCUAGUUGGUGAGGUAACGGCUCACCAAGGCAACGAUGUCUAGGGGUCCUGAGAGGGUUAUCCCCCACACUGGUACUGAGACACGGACCAGACUCCUACGGGAGGCAGCAGUAAGGAAUAUUGGUCAAUGGGCGCAAGCCUGAACCAGCCAUGCCGCGUGCAGGAAGACGGCCCUAUGGGUUGUAAACUGCUUUUGUCAGGGAAUAAACCUUUGUACGUGUACAGAGCUGAAGGUACCUGAAGAAUAAGCAUCGGCUAACUCCGUGCCAGCAGCCGCGGUAA
rnacentral:rRNA from 1 species